rnacentral:rRNA from 1 species
GAUGAACGCUGGCGGCGUGCCUAAUACAUGCAAGUCGAGCGAACAGAUAAGGAGCUUGCUCCUUUGACGUUAGCGGCGGACGGGUGAGUAACACGUGGGUAACCUACCUAUAAGACUGGGAUAACUUCGGGAAACCGGAGCUAAUACCGGAUAAUAUUUCGAACCGCAUGGUUCGGUAGUGAAAGAUGGUUUUGCUAUCACUUAUAGAUGGACCCGCGCCGUAUUAGCUAGUUGGUAAGGUAACGGCUUACCAAGGCGACGAUACGUAGCCGACCUGAGAGGGUGAUCGGCCACACUGGAACUGAGACACGGUCCAGACUCCUACGGGAGGCAGCAGUAGGGAAUCUUCCGCAAUGGGCGAAAGCCUGACGGAGCAACGCCGCGUGAGUGAUGAAGGUCUUCGGAUCGUAAAACUCUGUUAUUAGGGAAGAACAUACGUGUAAGUAACUGUGCACGUCUUGACGGUACCUAAUCAGAAAGCCACGGCUAACUACGUG